CGUAGGGAGCAAGCGUUGUUCGGAUUUACUGGGCGUAAAGGGCGCGUAGGCGGCGCGGUAAGUCACUUGUGAAAUCUCUGAGCUUAACUCAGAACGGCCAAGUGAUACUGCAGUGCUAGAGUGCAGAAGGGGCAAUCGGAAUUCUUGGUGUAGCGGUGAAAUGCGUAGAUAUCAAGAGGAACACCUGAGGUGAAGACGGGUUGCUGGGCUGACACUGACGCUGAGGCGCGAAAGCCAGGGGAGCAAACGGGAUUAGAUACCCCGGUAGUCCUGGCCCUAAACGAUGAAUACUUGGUGUCUGGAGUUUCAAUACUCCGGGUGCCGUCGCUAACGUUUUAAGUAUUCCGCCUGGGGAGUACGCUCGCAAGAGUG
rnacentral:rRNA from 1 species